GUGGGACCUGCGGUGCAUUAGCUAGUUGGUAAAGGGCAACGGCUUACCAAGGCAAUGAUGCAUAGCCGAGUUGAGAGACUGAUCGGCCACAUUGGGACUGAGACACGGCCCAAACUCCUACGGGAGGCAGCAGUAGGGGAAUCUUCCACAAUGGACACAAGUCUGAUGGAGCAACGCCGCGUGAGUGAAGAAGGGUUUCGGCUCGUAAAGCUCUGUUGGUAGUGAAGAAAGAUAGAGGUAGUAACUGGCCUUUAUUUGACGGUAAUUACUUAGAAAAGUCACGGGCUAACUACGUGCCCAGCAGCGCGGGUAAAUA
rnacentral:rRNA from 1 species